AAAUUGAAGAGUUUGAUCAUGGCUCAGAUUGAACGCUGGCGGCAGGCCUAACACAUGCAAGUCGAACGGUAACAGGAAGAAGCUUGCUUCUUUGCUGACGAGUGGCGGACGGGUGAGUAAUGUCUGGGAAACUGCCUGAUGGAGGGGGAUAACUACUGGAAACGGUAGCUAAUACCGCAUAACGUCGCAA
rnacentral:rRNA from 2 species